rnacentral:lncRNA from 1 species
UUACCAUGUAUCAAGAGGUAUUCACACUAUCAAUUAGGCAAUUAUCAUUCUACACACAGGCAGUAAUAAAGAGAGUAAAAAACCACAGUGAUGUCUCAGGAUACCAAUGUACCUCCAGAAGACUCCAGUGGGUCCAGAAGCCCUUUGGAUACUGAUCAGAGGCUCCUUUUGGGCAGAGAUCACAGCAGCAGCCACCAGUUCCGCAGGCUGGGAAGUCCAAAAUCAAGAGGCCUCUGGAGAGGGUAUUCCUACUACAUUCUCACAUGGAGAAGCAAGACUGGAUGACAAAACUUUGUAUCCUUCAAAUGAAGAUGAUGUGGCCAGGUGCCGUGGCGGGCAGAUCAUCUGAGGU